rnacentral:rRNA from 1 species
GGUUGUCGUCAGCUCGUGUCGUGUAGAUGUUGGUUAAGUCCCGCAACGAGCGCAACCCCUACUCUCUGUUGCUAUCAGGUAAUGCUGGGCACUCUGAGGGAACUGCCGGUGACAAACCGGAGGAAGGUGGGGACGACGUCAAAUCAUCACGGCCCUUAUGUCCAGGGCUACACACGUGCUACAAUGGCCGGUACAAAGAGUUGCGAGACCGCGAGGUGGAGCUAAUCUCAGAAAACCGGUCUCAGUUCGGAUUGGAGUCUGCAACUCGACUCCAUGAAGUUGGAAUCGCUAGUAAUCGUGGAUCAGCACGCUACGGUGAAUACGUUCCCGGGCCUU